AUGAACGCUGGCGGCGUGCCUAAUACAUGCAAGUCGAGCGAACAGACGAGGAGCUUGCUCCUCUGACGUCAGCGGCGGACGGGUGAGUAACACGUGGAUAACCUACCUAUAAGACUGGGAUAACUUCGGGAAACCGGAGCUAAUACCGGAUAAUAUAUUGAACCGCAUGGUUCAAUAGUGAAAGACGGUUUUGCUGUCACUUAUAGAUGGAUCCGCGCCGCAUUAGCUAGUUGGUAAGGUAACGGCUUACCAAGGCAACGAUGCGUAGCCGACCUGAGAGGGUGAUCGGCCACACUGGAACUGAGACACGGUCCAGACUCCUACGGGAGGCAGCAGUAGGGAAUCUUCCGCAAUGGGCGAAAGCCUGACGGAGCAACGCCGCGUGAGUGAUGAAGGUCUUCGGAUCGUAAAACUCUGUUAUUAGGGAAGAACAAAUGUGUAAGUAACUAUGCACGUCUUGACGGUACCUAAUCAGAAAGCCACGGCUAACUACGUG
rnacentral:rRNA from 1 species